GGCGGGAUAGCUCAUUUGGUAAGCAAAGGACUGAAAAUCCUCGUGUC
rnacentral:tRNA from 1 species